GACGAACGCUGGCGGCGUGCUUAACACAUGCAAGUCGAACGAGUGGCGAACGGGUGAGUAACACGUGGGUGACCUGCCCUGCUCUUCGGGAUAAGCCUGGGAAACUGGGUCUAAUACCGGAUCGUGUGGGCUGGGCCCGCGGUCUAUCAGCUUGUUGGUGGGGUAAUGGCUACCAAGGCGCGACGGCUAGCCGGCCUGAGAGGGUGGACGGUCAGAUUGGGACUGUGACACGGUCCAGACGGGUACGGGAAGCAGCAGUGGGGAUUAUGGCAGGCAGGGGUCAGGCCUGAUGCGGCCUGGGCGCGUGUAUGAAGAAGGCCUGCGGCGUGUAAGGAACUUGCAGCGAGGAGGCGUUACUCGCAGAAGAAGCACCGGCUAACUCCGUGCCAGCAGCCGCGGUAAUUC
rnacentral:rRNA from 1 species